rnacentral:rRNA from 1 species
AACGAACGCUGGCGGCAUGCCUAACACAUGCAAGUCGAACGAGACCUUCGGGCCUAGUGGCGCACGGGUGCGUAACGCGUGGGAACCUGCCCUUAGGUUCGGAAUAACUCCCCGAAAGGGGUGCUAAUACCGGAUAAUGUCUUCGGACCAAAGAUUUAUCGCCUUUGGAUGGGCCCGCGUUGGUUUAGCUAGUUGGUAGGGUAAAAGCCUACCAAGGCGACGAUCCAUAGCUGGUCGGAGAGGAUGAUCAGCCACACUGGGACUGAGACACGGCCCAGACUCCUACGGGAGGCAGCAGUGGGGAAUAUUGGACAAUGGGCGAAAGCCUGAUCCAGCAAUGCCGCGUGAGUGAUGAAGGCCUUAGGGUUGUAAAGCUCUUUUACCCGGGAUGAUAAUGACAGUACCGGGAGAAUAAGCUCCGGCUAACUCCGUG